UACAGGGGGUGCAAACGUUGCUCGGAAUCAUUGGGCGUAAAGCGCACGUAGGCGGAUCUUUAAGUCAGAGGUGAAAUCCCAAGGCUCAACCUUGGAACUGCCUUUGAUACUGGGGAUCUUGAGUCCGGGAGAGGUGAGUGGAACUGCGAGUGUAGAGGUGAAAUUCGUAGAUAUUCGCAAGAACACCAGUGGCGAAGGCGGCUCACUGGCCCGGUACUGACGCUGAGGUGCGAAAGCGUGGGGAGCAAACAGG
rnacentral:rRNA from 1 species